rnacentral:rRNA from 1 species
GACGAACGCUGGCGGCGUGCUUAACACAUGCGAGUCGAACGGAAAGGCCCUGCUUUUGUGGGGUGCUCGAGUGGCGAACGGGUGAGUAACACGUGAGUAACCUGCCCUUGACUUUGGGAUAACUUCAGGAAACUGGGGCUAAUACCGGAUAGGAGCUCCUGCUGCAUGGUGGGGGUUGGAAAGUUUCGGCGGUUGGGGAUGGACUCGCGGCUUAUCAGCUUGUUGGUGGGGUAGUGGCUUACCAAGGCUUUGACGGGUAGCCGGCCUGAGAGGGUGACCGGCCACAUUGGGCCUGCGAUACGGCCCAGACUCCUACGGGAGGCAGCAGUGGGGAAUAUUGCACAAUGGGCGGAAGCCUGAUGCAGCAACGCCGCGUGCGGGAUGACGGCCUUCGGGUUGUAAACCGCUUUCGCCUGUGACGAAGCGUGAGUGACGGUAAUGGGUAAAGAAGCACCGGCUAACUACGUG